GACGAACCGUGCGAACGUUGUUCGGAAUCACUGGGCUUAAAGGGCGCGUAGGCGGGCAGUCAAGUCAGGGGUGAAAUCCCACGGCUCACCGUGGAAGUGCCUUUGAUACUGGCUGUCUGGAGGGAGGUAGGGGCGUGCGGAACUUCCGGUGGAGCGGUGAAAUGCGUAGAUAUCGGAAGGAACGCCGGUGGCGAAAGCGGCGCGCUGGACCUCUUCUGACGCUGAGGCGCGAAAGCCAGGGGAGCAAAGCAGG
rnacentral:rRNA from 1 species